GACGGAAGGUGCAAGCGUUGCUCGGAAUCACUGGGCGUAAAGGGUGCGUAGGCGGCCGUGCAAGUCUGGCGUGAAAGCCCCGGGCUCAACCUGGGAACUGCAAUGGAAACUGGCGGGCUUGAGUGUGGCAGAGGGGGGUGGAAUUCCGCGUGUAGCAGUGAAAUGCGUAGAGAUGCGGAGGAACACCGAUGGCGAAGGCAGCCCCCUGGGAUAACACUGACGCUCAUGCACGAAAGCGUGGGGAGCAAACAGG
rnacentral:rRNA from 1 species